GGAUUAGAUACCCUGGUAGUCCACACCGUAAACGAUGAUUACUAGAUUUUGGCCUUAUGGUCAGAGUCCAAGCGAAAGUGUUUAGUAAUCCACUUGGGGAGUACGUCCGCAAGGAUGAAACUCAAAGGAAUUGACGGGGGCCCGCACAAGCGGUGGAGCAUGUGGUUUAAUUCGAUGAUACGCGAGGAACCUUACCUGGGCUUGAAAGUUAGUGACCGAUCCUGAAAGGGAUUCUCCCGCAAGGGCACGAAACUAGGUGCUGCAUGGCUGUCGUCAGCUCGUGCCG
rnacentral:rRNA from 1 species